AUUGAACGCUGGCGGCAGGCCUAACACAUGCAAGUCGAACGAGUGGCGGACGUGUGAGUAAUGUCUGGGAAACUGCCUGAUGGAGGGGGUUAACUACUGGAAACGGUAGCCAAUACCGCAUACCAUCGGAUGUGCCCAGAUGGGAUUAGCUCGUUGGGGGGGUAACGGCGCACAUGGGCGACGAUCCCUAGCUGGUCUGAGCGGAUGACCAGCAACACUGGAACUGAGACACGGUCCAGACUCCUACGGGAGGCAGCAGUGGGGAAUAUUGCACAAUGGGCGCAAGCCUGAUGCAGCCAUGCCGCGUGUAUGAAGAAGGCCUUCGGGUUGUAAAGUACUUUCAGCGGGGAGGCGUUACCCGCAGAAGAAGCACCGGCUAACUCCGUGCCAGCAGCCGCGGUAAUUC
rnacentral:rRNA from 1 species